GUGGUAAGGUCAGUGUAUACUCCAGUUACACUGAGUGAACUGACUGACAUGAUCUUAUUUUGUAGCAGUGCAAGCCAGGACAUGACUGCACUAAUGUUCAGGCUGGAAAGUCUUGACUGAGUCAUAAAAGUACACAGAGAUAACUUAGGGGGAGAGAAAGAAAGAAAGAAUGUGGGACGGAAGGAAUUGUUCCCUUGUUAGUUUGAAAGCACCUGGACAAAGACAUUUUCCAAACAAAAUAUAAAUCAUAUAUAAAUGUAAACACCUACUAUGUAAUACUUUCUCCAACUACAAAUGAGCAACUACAAAGAAACCUCACUCAGGGCCCGCGUGGUCCAGGGAGAGUCAAAGCACUUCCCAAGGAUUGUAACAAAGAUUUCAAUCUUGGAAGAUGUCCCAGGGAACUUGAACCAGAAGCUGCUUGCUACCAUGAAGAUCAUGGUGUGGAUCACAACGAGCUCCGGAUGUGGCUGCAGUCAAUGGCUUCAGGCGUGGGGCUGGUGAAGUGGCUGGGCAGGCAUGCAAUCUUGUCUUGAGUGAGCUGCGGAUGAAAUAUUAAUAAAAUAAUUAAUAACAUGGAGGGACAGAUGAAGGGGGAGGGAAAAUAAUAAUACUUCUACUGAUUUAACAACUUUUUUUCCUUUUCAAACAUUUGAUCUAAUAUAAGAAACCUUGUGCAACAUGGACUUCAGAUGAGAAAUGGCCUUUUGUCUAAUUCUGACAUUUUCCAUACUUGGUGUACUUAUUAUAAUUUGUACUACAAAUAUAAAGAACAGAAUGUGUGACAAUGUAAUUUGCUCUUUAACAGUCCGUUACAUUGUGGAAAAAAUGACGUACAUAACUACUUAAGGAUAAUAAGAUUUAUUUGUGUUCAGAAUUUCUUUAAACAGAAACAAAUGUGUUAAAAAAUGAGCUCAUUGAUAUUCACUAACAGUUAAAAACAAUAGUGCUACAUGACAACCAGCGCAACAGUGUUUUAUAUAUUACGUUUUUUUAUGAUUCUCAACAAGAUCGAUUUAGUGUUGAUUUUGGAUUUGACGACUACAGGAAAAAUGUAGAAAUUUACUACAAUUUCAGUCGAAAAAAAAAAACUCAAUAAGAUACUCUGCAAUGAAUUAAGACCCAUUCACUUCAAAAUCUAAAAACAACUCUACCUGUCUUUCAGUUUGGAUUUGAUAUGAUUUUACCUUAUUUCAGUAAAGUCUUUGUUUUCUGUUAAACAUCAACCAGUUUACUGGAUUUUCUGGUCCGUUACCAGUUUGGAUGUCUUACUAAAGGUGCACAAUCCAGGGGGAUCAACUGACUCUACUUUUCUUCUUUAACUAAGCAACACAGACAUCUUUCACACUGUCUACAAGGAGACAUUGAAGUAAGCUGAAUUUAUACUUAUUAUUACAUAUUUACUUUCAUUGUGUGUUAGUUGUAUUGACACAGAAAGCAUAACCAGGUGGGUGGAGACACAUUGAGGAGCAACUUAGAGAUGUAAGUGUGGAAUAAGUGGGUCAGGAGAUACAGGGUUAUUCAGUUACACUGUCGGUGUUUCUGCCUGAGUUGAAGGUCAGAUCAUGUAUAAACACAGAGGAGGGUGUGUGGGAACAAAACAUUCCUCUGAUAUGCCACAAAAGAUAUGAAUUAUGCACAUGUUUUACUUGCAUCAAGCAGGUUGUUUUAGGUUUGUAAUAAUUGCAUUUCUAAACCUGUGUAAUCAGUUGCGGAUUUAAGAGAUUUUGGUCACAAAGUGUCUGGUUUGUUGGUGCCUCACCUGCAAGGUGCACCCAAAGACUCCAAGCAUAAGCAUAGCAACGCACAGGUACUCUGAGAAAACAUCCCACCACGGCUUCAGGACACGAUACUUAGAGUUCUGCUCUACACCAAAGUUUUUGAAUUCACCCACUGGGAUCAUCCUGGCAGCUGCUCCUCACUGGGGAAAGAAUAUAGUGAAUGUGAACACUGAGACUAACGUUGGCUUUCCACACAGUUCAGUCUCUGAAGAACAUCUUGUCAAAGGCUUUAAAAGUGAUGUGACAAAAAAAGACACAUGAUGUACGAAUACAGAAUAAAAUAAUAUUUGGUUUCAUCAUA